UGGGUGUGUGUGUGUGUAAUGGAAAGGUUUGAAAGGUUUGCUCCACAGUGCAUAAUUAUAAUUCUGAGUUUUAGAAAUGGAAACAAUGGCAGGAGAGAUGAUGUAUUAAUACAGAAAGUAGCUAAAGUAUCAGAAGGUGUAAGAGGGCCUCAGUUAAAGUGGUGGGGCCGAAAGGCAGGUGAAGUGGCUAAGUUAACCAACAUUUGAGAAGGAGGGGAGAGGAGCAAAGGACCCGUGGUGAGGUGUGGGUGUGCUCCUGCAGCAGGGCCGUUGUGUGUGCUGGCGUCGGGGCUGGCAGCGUGCCCGGAGCUGUAGCCUCGGAAGCCAUAGGCCCGGAAGUGAGGGAAGGACACACGGGGUAGGCUGAGAGAACACCUUUCAGGAACACCCACCUUUAAGGGACAGACGAAGACAGGACUGCCACGCGAGGAGACCAGAAAGUAAUGUCCUGAGGGAAACGAAGUCUGAGAAAGUGUGUCACGGAAACCAAAAAAGAGAAAGUGCCAAGGAAAGAAGAGGAUUUGCAGGGUAAAUAUUCCCAAUGUGUCAGACAGAAUGCUAUGGAAAUGGAAGCCUGUGAGUUACUAGUUGGGAGUGCACAGGUGGUUAUGCUAAAACUGUUUCUUCAGAAAAGGACGAGCUGAGCCAUGUUGUUGUGAGUUGAAAUUAAAUGUCAAGUCUUAACCUUGCCUUUGAAAGAUCAACUCAUCUGACUAACUCUUCUAAGGAGGCUGAAAAUAAAAAGACAGUGCUGAAGUUAAUAGUACUUUUCGGACAAGGAGAACCAUGAGCGGUAUACAGACAGGUGGGUAGUUAGAUUUUGCGGCCCAGAGGAGGAGGGAGGGAGCGCUUAACAAAAGCCCAGAGCAAGCGUGAGCCUUCCACAGAGUGUGCACAGGUGUGUUUGGAAGAGGGUCUUUCUCUGCAACGGGAGGAAAACUUCACCGGAGCUGACACCCAUCCAGUGCCCACUGGUUCAGCCAUGCCUGUGUGUGAAAUACUGCAGUGCUCUCACAAUGGUGGUGGUGUGGCUGUGGCUCUGAGGGCUCACACGCCAGCUCUCUCCACAUCGCAUCUGCCAUUCCAGCCCACAUCCUUCCCAGCAGAAGGCCUCUGAAACGUGCAUUCUAGUUCUCCUCACUCAGUGCCCGUUCUUCCCUGAUCGCUGAGUAUUUUCAGUAUCACCCCUGAUGUCAAAGUUGUGAAUACAGAUUUGGGGCUUGACGUAAGAGAAGCUAGGGAAGCCCAUGUCUCUGAUUUUCAGGGAUUCGCAUGUUAAAAGUCAUCUGCUGGAAAGGACAAAGCAAACACGAUGAGGGAACAUGAGAAGAAAGAAAAAUCAGGGAGUUGGAGUUUCCCAAAGUGUUUGGAGAACCGGGCUGAGAUUGGAGCUUGCACAAGUGUCUUGGUGCCAUCACCACUGCUAUGCGAUAUUUUCUAAGAGGAAACAAGAACCCGGAGACCCAGGAGUUGACCCCAUUUUUAAACAGAUUAAGUCUUGGCAGUGGAAAGACAGAGACACAGGAAAAUGGCGGGCACUGGUGAGAGCACUCUUACCAGAUUGCGAGGUCCAGGCUAGGCGGGAAGGGACUUUAAGUCGUGGGAGGGCCCAGGACUAUGAGAACAGGUCAGAAUGAAGUGAAGAAACGCCAUGGUAACAGAAGCCUAAGGCAUAGGAGGGGAGAAGGGCUGAGGGACAGGAAAGAGAUAAGGGAAGAGAGGGAUAGGAAAAUAAUGUCAGCAUUUCCAGUUUCAGAGACGGAGCAGUUUUGAGAGAUGCUGUGGUCUGGGAAUCUGGAGAGAAGAUUAGCAUUUGCCUUAUCCAUGUAUAUGUGGCUGUCAUCAGGAGGUCAUCAGGAGGUCAUCAGGAGGCCAUCAGGAGGUCAUCAGGAGGUGAACAGCUGUUUACCAUAGUAGUAACAGUGCCAAUGGUGCCUACCCUCCCCCGUAACUAUGCCCAAGGGAGCCUAUUCCAGUCAUUAAUGCUGCAUAACAAGUCACUCUAAAAUGUGGGCCUGUCUAUGUGGAUGUCACAGACCCAGGCCGUCCUGUUGUCGAGGCCAGGGGAAAGCUGCUCUUUACCCUCUGAAGGUUUGCUGAAAAAUCAACUCAUGAAAGGAGACUAACAGGAGAAAAACAUUUAUUUGAUCAUAGCGGAGCCUUCAGACUGAAGACCCAGAGAUGCAGGGGAAAUUCCCCUUUUUUAUGCUCAGGUUCAACAACAUAUGGACAGCUGUGUGGAAAUGUGAUUAAACAAAACGGGUGUGAUCUAA